rnacentral:piRNA from 1 species
UGUUGUUCUCGAUAACGUCAUUGA